rnacentral:rRNA from 1 species
ACGGUACAACGAGUCGCAAGACCGCGAGGUUUAGCAAAUCUCUUAAAGCCGUUCUCAGUUCGGAUUGUAGGCUGCAACCCGCCUACAUGAAGUCGGAAUCGCUAGUAAUCGCGGAUCAGCAUGCCGCGGUGAAUACGUUCCCGGGCCUUGUACACACCGCCCGUCACACCAUGAGAGUUUGUAACACCCAAAGCCGGUGGGGUAACCUUUUGGAGCCAGCCGUCUAAGGUGGGACAGAUGAUUAGGGUGAAGUCGUAACAAGGUAAC